rnacentral:lncRNA from 1 species
AUUUCUGCAGCCGGAACAGCACGGCAAAUCAUCUGAUCUGCAUGCUGCGACAAGGUAUGGCUCGGCCUGGUGAUGAAUUGUAAGCAGAACAUGCUAUGCUGCGAAUUGGUGCCAAUCUUCAUAUCCGAGUUGUUCCCACGACAGUCAAGCACUACUGUGAUUUGCUUCAUUGGCAAGGUGCCCUGCAAGCUCUCACCAAAGCAACACAUUCCACUGGUUUUCUGUCAG